rnacentral:lncRNA from 1 species
GUGCAAGCCCCAGCCCUGCGUGGUGUCUGUGGAGGGGCUGUCCUCGUCCACCACGGAUGCCCAGCUGAAGAGCCUGCUGAUGUCAGUGGGACCCAUUCAGAGUUUACAGAUGCUUCCUCAGCAACGGAAAGCCAUAGCUAAGUUCAAGGAGCCAGCCCACGCAUUAGCAUUUCAGCAGAAAUUCCACAGGGAGCUGCCGGCCGGCGCAGAACCCCCAGGAGCACAGGUCUCUCCGGGCCGCUGUCCUGCGUAACUGUUCUCCAGAGCGCCAGCCAGCCACGGGCCUGAUUCCAGAGGAGCCGAACUGACAGGACACAGCAGGCUGGAGUUGGUGUUAGAUUGCUUCACAUUCUCUUGUCACCACCAAGAACUCCAAGUUUUUCGUUUUGUUUUGUUUUCAAAGUGCUUACAAUGCAUGUAGACAUUGUUCUUUGUGGUCUGACUCUAUGAUCGAUCACAGUGACUUAGAUUCAGGAAAGAACAUUAACGUCACAAGUUCUAAGUAGUUUUCACAGCAAAGAAUAUUUGAUAAUGGUUGCACUUAUCUUCAGU